rnacentral:snoRNA from 13 species
UUGCAUGUGGAAGUUUCUUUCUCCUCACUCCUGUGGAGGAGGAAUGCAUCCAUUACAUGCUACAUUAGCAGGAGUUCUCAGGGCUGCCGGCCUGCCAGGAGAGGCUGGGCAGUAGUAUAUUGCUCCAACACAA